rnacentral:rRNA from 1 species
GACGAACGCUGGCGGCGUGCCUAAUACAUGCAAGUAGAACGCUGAAGGAGGAGCUUGCUCUUCUGGAUGAGUUGCGAACGGGUGAGUAACGCGUAGGUAACCUGCCUGGUAGCGGGGGAUAACUAUUGGAAACGAUAGCUAAUACCGCAUGACAACAGUUAUUGCAUGAUAACUGUUUAAAAGGGGCAACUGCUCCACUACCAGAUGGACCUGCGUUGUAUUAGCUAGUUGGUGAGGUAACGGCUCACCAAGGCGACGAUACAUAGCCGACCUGAGAGGGUGAUCGGCCACACUGGGACUGAGACACCGCCCAGACUCCUACGGGAGGCAGCAGUAGGGAAUCUUCGGCAAUGGACGGAAGUCUGACCGAGCAACGCCGCGUGAGUGAAGAAGGUUUUCGGAUCGUAAAGCUCUGUUGUAAGAGAAGAACGAGUGUGAGAGUGGAAAGUUCACACUGUGACGGUAUCUUACCAGAAAGGGACGGCUAACUACGUG